rnacentral:rRNA from 1 species
GAUGAACGCUGGCGGCGUGCCUAAUACAUGCAAGUCGAGCGAAGAGGGGACGGGUGAGUAACACGUGGAUAACAUCCUAGAAGACUGGGGUAACUUCGGGAAACCGGAGCUAAACCGGAAACUGAGAGAUGGAUCCGCGCUGCAUUAGCUAGUUGGUAAGGUAACGGCUGACCAAGGCAACGAUGCAUAGACGACCUGAGAGGUUGAUCGGCCACACUGGAACUGAGACACGGUCCAGACUCCUACGGGAGGCAGCAGUAGGGAAUCUUCCGCAAUGGGCGAAAGCCUGACGGAGCAACGCCGCGUGUGUGAUGAAGGUCUUCGGAUCGUAAAAUUCUGUUAGUAGGGAAGCGGUACCUAAUCAGAAAGCCACGGCUAACUACGUGCCAGCAGCCGCGGUAAUUC